AUCCAAGUCCACAGAGGAUGAGAAUAUAGCCAGCAUAGCGUGCCUUUCCCUCUUGCUUUGUUUUCCAUUCACGAGUCAAGGUGCUUAAAAAUUUAAAUUUGAUAAAGCAUAGGACCCUAACAAAGGCGCUUGCAUUCUUAAUUUAAAAUGGAUACUUCCUGAUCUUAGUUGAGGUCAUUUUGAAACUUGAAUCGGUUGUCUUCAUGUUCUUUAAUAAGCUUGGUAUUGAAAAUGACAACAUUCAUGCCCAAGAAAACUUUUGCCAUGCGUCACUGUAAACCUGAAGCCUUUUGCUUUUCGGUACAUCAGAACUCAGAAAACUGUAAACUAGAACCUUUGCCACGAACCACUCCAUACGUUAUUCUUUCAGGAGAAUUUCAAGUUUGGCAUUAACUUGCAUAUAGCCACCGCAUGAAAGCCAGAGUAAAACUUCCUUCAAAAGACUUCCCAUGCCUUAUUCAGUUUCAAUAAAAGAGAUCAGAUAUAUUACCAUUCAAACCACGCCACAAUCAAACCAUCCAUAGUCCAAAUGCAUGUUUUUGUGCAGAUGUCAUUUUUUUUAAUCAAUUUUUAUGUCUGGGAAACAAAUCUGGUUGUCAUAAACAAAUUUACAUAGAU
rnacentral:misc_RNA from 1 species